CAUACGCCACCAAAAACCUCUCUAAACCCUCACUCUCAGUCACUAGCUCACUCCUCAACUGCGAAUAACACGGAGGAGACGACAUUAAUAUCAUUGUAAGAUGUCCACGACUGUUUCAAGGAUAGAAACCUACGAGGAUUUCGUGAAAGCUCAUGGUGUUCUAUUGGCUGCCUCAGGGCUACCUCGAUCGCUGCACUACAAACUUUUCGAGAAACUUACUUCAGAGACCUUCGAUGGCGGCGCAUACUUCCAAGUCGAGCCCUGCGAGGAGGGCCGGCAGAGAAGGCUCGUCUUCACCUCCGAUUCAAUGCCUAAAGAUUCCAACGUUUUCCUCGUUGACCAUGCUUGGACUUUUCGUCUAUCUGAUGCUUACAAACAGGUACCUCCAAUUCUUCUUAUCAAGUAAAGUCUUUUUAUUAUAUCUGGGUAGUAGCAUUUUCUUGGUUUUUUGCGAUGUUGUGGUUUUUGGUGGCUCUUUUGUAAAUAAAGUUUGAAUCUUUGAGCUUUUGUAGCUACAAGAAGUGCCAGGAUUGGCUCAGAGGAUGGCUUCUUUGAUGUGUGUAGAUGAUGAUUUCAAUUCCGGUGCUGAAGAGGAGGAUGGAGCUUUGCAAGAGAACAAUUCUAAAUUGAAUGUCAUGGAUAUUAUUGAGAAUGAGAUUAAUGAUGCAAAAAUGAAAGGCUGUGAUACUGUUAGGUGGUUGGAACUUGAGGAGCUCAACAUUGACGAUGAUAUGCUGGUCUCUCUUGAUUUGUCCAGUAAAUUACCGGUCUGUUAUUAUCAUCCAUCUCAGUUGUUUUGCUUAUCAUUUAUCCAAGUCAUAUUUAUAUCAUACAGCUCGAAAGCAGAGUUCUUAUUGACCGAAUUUGUUUUUUAGAGUUGUUAUUCACUUGCUUAUUAAUUGAAGUAAGACACUUAUAUUAGUGGAGGAGGCGCCAAAUUCUAGAAGUUCAGUUAUUUUGGUGUUUAUAAUUUUUAUUUUAUGGAUCUUAAUUGUAUUAUUGUAAGUAAAUACAAAUAUAAUUUUAAAUAGAAAGAGAAGUUGCUAGAAAGUUGGUAGUUGGUGGGUAGAAAUAGAAUAUUUAUUGAAUUAUAUUCCUUCAUAAAGAUCUAAUUAUUCCAAUUCCAAUUCCAAAUGCUAAUAAACAGAGCAUGUUUAUAAAUGUACCAAGGUUUGUAUUCCCUCCUCUUCAAAUGAAUUGUUGGACGGUCGAGUCAAAUUAUAAUUUCUCAAAAAAAAAAAAAUCAAAUUAGAAAAAAGGCACUUAAUUUAAUAAUUAAUGGUAUAUAUAUAUUACCAACAGGGACGAAAGUUAAUUAAAAAAAUUACAAUAUAUUUUUAAAAAUACAGACGGACUAAUUUUACUUUAUAAAAUCAUAAUUUUUUUUUACUAUCAUUUUAUAUUCCACCAACAAAAUACUAUUAAAAUUUUCUGAAACCGCAAUAUUAGUUAUUAACUAACAACCCAACCAAAUAAGCCCAUAAUCUCACAAAGCAUACGCCACCAAAAACCUCUCUAAACCCUCACUCUCAGUCACUAGCUCACUCCUCAACUGCGAAUAACACGGAGGAGACGACAUUAAUAUCAUUGUAAGAUGUCCACGACUGUUUCAAGGAUAGAAACCUACGAGGAUUUCGUGAAAGCUCAUGGUGUUCUAUUGGCUGCCUCAGGGCUACCUCGAUCGCUGCACUACAAACUUUUCGAGAAACUUACUUCAGAGACCUUCGAUGGCGGCGCAUACUUCCAAGUCGAGCCCUGCGAGGAGGGCCGGCAGAGAAGGCUCGUCUUCACCUCCGAUUCAAUGCCUAAAGAUUCCAACGUUUUCCUCGUUGACCAUGCUUGGACUUUUCGUCUAUCUGAUGCUUA
rnacentral:lncRNA from 1 species